AACGAACGCUGGCGGCAUGCCUAACACAUGCAAGUCGAACGAGACCUUCGGGUCUAGUGGCGCACGGGUGCGUAACGCGUGGGAACCUGCCCUUAGGUUCGGAAUAACUCCCCGAAAGGGGUGCUAAUACCGGAUAAUGUCUUCGGACCAAAGAUUUAUCGCCUUUGGAUGGGCCCGCGUUGGAUUAGCUAGUUGGUAGGGUAAAAGCCUACCAAGGCGACGAUCCAUAGCUGGUCUGAGAGGAUGAUCAGCCACACUGGGACUGAGACACGGCCCAGACUCCUACGGGAGGCAGCAGUGGGGAAUAUUGGACAAUGGGCGAAAGCCUGAUCCAGCAAUGCCGCGUGAGUGAUGAAGGCGUUAGGGUUGUAAAGCUCUUUUACCCGGGAUAAUAAUGACAGUACCGGGAGAAUAAGCUCCGGCUAACUCCGUG
rnacentral:rRNA from 1 species